GUGCUCACUUCUGCAGCACAUAUGCUAAAAUUGGAAUGAUACAGAGCAUUAGCACGGCUCCUGUACAAGGAUGAUACCCAAAGUAUUUGUAUUUUU
ensembl:snRNA U6 U6 spliceosomal RNA